rnacentral:rRNA from 1 species
UACGUAGGGUGCAAGCGUUAAUCGGAAUACUGGGCGUAAAGCGUGCGCAGGCGGUUAUGUAAGACAGGUGUGAAAUCCCAGGGCUUAACCUUGGAACUGCAUUUGUGACUGCAUAGCUAGAGUACGGUAGAGGGGGAUGGAAUUCCGCGUGUAGCAGUGAAAUGCGUAGAUAUGCGGAGGAACACCGAUGGCGAAGGCAAUCCCCUGGACCUGUACUGACGCUCAUGCACGAAAGCGUGGGGGAGCAAACAGG